GAUGAACGCUGGCGGCGUGCCUAAUACAUGCAAGUCGAGCGAAUGGAUUAAGAGCUUGCUCUUAUGAAGUUAGCGGCGGACGGGUGAGUAACACGUGGGUAACCUGCCCAUAAGACUGGGAUAACUCCGGGAAACCGGGGCUAAUACCGGAUAACAUUUUGAACCGCAUGGUUCGAAAUUGAAAGGCGGCUUCGGCUGUCACUGAUGGAUGGACCCGCGUCGCAUUAGCGAGUUGGUGAGGUAACGGCUCACCAAGGCAACGAUGGGUAGCCGACCUGAGAGGGUGAUCGGCCACACUGGGACUGAGACACGGCCCAGACUCCUACGGGAGGCAGCAGUAGGAAAUCUUCCGCAAUGGACGAAAGUCUGACGGAGCAACGCCGUGUGAGUGAUGAAGGCUUUCGGGUCGUAAAACUCUGUUGUUAGGGAAGAACAAGUGCUAGUUGAAUAAGCUGGCACCUUGACGGUACCUAACCAGAAAGCCACGGCUAACUACGUGCCAGCAGCCGCCGUAA
rnacentral:rRNA from 1 species